AUUUUUGGGAGCUUGCUCCCAAAAAUUAGCCCCGGACGGGUGAGUAACACGUGGGCAACCUGCCUAUAAGACUGGGAUAACUUCGGGAAACCGGAGCUAAUACCGGAUAAUUCAUAUCUACUCAUGUAGGUAUGCUGAAAGACGGUUUACGCUGUCACUUAUAGAUGGGCCCGCGGCGCAUUAGCUAGUUGGUGAGGUAACGGCUCACCAAGGCAACGAUGCGUAGCCGACCUGAGAGGGUGAUCGGCCACACUGGGACUGAGACACGGCCCAGACUCCUACGGGAGGC
rnacentral:misc_RNA from 1 species